GAGCUGAGUAAAAUACAGAGACAUAACACACAGAGCUGUGCACAAUAAGGAGAUACCAAUAACUAUGGCACACAACAUGGGGAACUGUGAUGGAUUAUAGAGCUGCAGAGAUCGCCACACAGUGCAAUGUCUCUGUAUAAUGUUGCAGCUCUCUCUGUAAAUUCUAGCUCUCUAGCCCUCUCUUACUUAUCCAUAUCCUGUUCUCAUCUUCAUUAGUGCUCCUGCUAUGACAACUUUAGAAUUCUAGUAAAUUUGGUGCUGUUUAGAUAUACUUCCCCUUACCUUACUCCAUCUGCUGUUCUAUGUUAAUUCGCACCCGCUACAGCGGAAGAGUCCUCCCAGC